UGCACUUUAUUCCUAAUUACAGUUUAUUACUAUCAUGUGUGUAUCCCAACCCUCCCCUUCUUUUCUAGAUCUUAUUUUCAAGAUUUUAGGUGAUUUUUCCUAUAACAGGAUGUUCCAGCAACCAAGGACAAAGAGGAGGAGACUUUUGAUCAAGUUUGUGCAAUUUGUGAUGAUGGUGGUAACAUUUUGUGGACCGAAUGAGCAUCACAAUAACAAGCCUUAAUACUCAACAAAUUGUCGGGUUCUCUCAAGAACAGGUCGCACUUACUAGUAUGUUGGGACAUAUCACAAACUUAGAUCUUGGCGCAUGAGGACAAGUGCCUUUUUGAGGCAGGGAAAGAUAUUAUGAUUCUUAAUUUCAAGUCUAAUAGCAGUAGGAAUUCUGUUACUGUUAUGUAUAUUAGUGCAUUCAAUUUAUUCUAGUAUUUAGAUGUGUUUAAUGUUCCUAUAAGUGUGGAAUUAGUGGAUGUGGGAAGUUAAAGUGGGCAGUUAUCUCCAAUCUAAAUGCAGAAGUUUAUGAAUGAAAAUUAAGUUGCAUUUCCUACGGGAAAAAGCCCAAGUUCCCUAAGAACUUGAGAUCGAAGGAUUCUUUCUAAUGAGCCCUUAUUAUCCUAUUAUUUCUAGUGCAAUUACCCCAUAACUAGAUUCAGAAACUGGGACUGUUACAACCUGCAUCUGUACAAUUUAUACUAUAUAUAGCUUUAUGAAAGUAGCAACUUAAAUAAGAAAUAUUGCAUCUGAAUGUUUAAACAAAGGUUUCAUGUGAUGAACAUAUACAUUGACUAAUUGUGUCGACCUUUCAAGAAACAUAUUCUUAUACUAUAGAGUUUUGGUUAAUAAGAGCUUCCUGUUAAAGAACUUCCUAUACAAGUAAAACAGAUGAAAAUUUCUUCUCUAGUUCUCCUUAAAUUGAACUGUAUGAAAAUUUUCAAAUUUAAGGAUUUGCAUAAUCAAGGUAUUAAUUGUUUAGGCAGCAGAUUUCUCUACACUAUAAGUUUUAUUAUGUCCCUAGUAAAGAAGACUUGAAAACAAAAGACUAAAUUUAUUAACUAGUUGUUGAAGAUUAAAUACAGUACUAAAUCUAAAGACACUCCUUAACUCUAGGAGCAAUACUAACAACCCACUAACAGCCCCUCAAUUAUAGCCAUGAUCAGAAAAAGAUUACAAAAGAUUAAACAAAUGAAAGACUUAGUCAAAUUAAUAAGUAGCUAAAAGAUAGCAGAAACUGCUGCUACAUACUGUUAGUGCUAAUACUGCUAAUACCUAGCACAAAAUUGUUCAGAAGAUGAAGGUUGAGCUUACUCCUGCGCUCUGGUGAGUUCUGCGAUUGAUGUUGUCAAAGCAUCUUACCCUGUGGGCUGAUUUAAGCUCAUUUGUAAAAUGAGCAACAACUCUACAGUAAAUUGUCAUUGAGGUAAAAUAAUGAUAUUCCCUUUAUAUUCUAUAGUUUCUUCUGUUUCCAUGUUCGACCUGCAUACUGAUUGUAAAACUUCUACCAAUUUUGAUUGCUCUAAGCUGAGACUUCAGGUCUCAUUUUAUGGUCCUACAUAAUGCUGCUACUGGUGAGAAUGGCUUUCUCUUUGCUUGCAGAAAGUAUUAAGUUUGUAUUAUUUGCUUUUAUGUAUAUAUAUGAUUGUAUGAUUUAAUCUGUUCUGAUCUUAUCUAGCUGGAAUGGAAGGUGCUUGAGAUCAUUUCAUCCAAGUGUUGCUGAUGGGGUGGAAUCUAAAUGUGUAUCCCUUGGUUUUAGAAACAAGGCUGAAUAUGAAGUAUGGACUACCUUGCAAUUCCCAUUUUUCAGUGUGAAAAUUGUAUCCAUAAGCAACAUCAGUGCUUUGCUUGUGGCAGAUUGGGAUCUUCUGCCAGAUUUUCUAGUCAAGAGGAUAGUACAUGGAGAAAAAAAAAUUGUAUAUUGAGACUUUGGGUAAAUCAUGUCAAAGCUGAUUGUUCUUAUUGUUCCAGAGCAAAUUCAAAGACUCGAUGAAAAGGCCCCGUACAAGUUGAUUUGGGAGGAUCACAUGCUACUUUCAGGCAAGGUCAUCUCCCUGGCUCCAUUGAUGUGAAUGACAAGCAGAUUGAGCAAAGGAACAGCAAGCCACCUCCUUUGUAUCUCUGGAGCCGUUUGGAUUGGAUUGCCAAGCACAUGGCAAUAGCACAUGGCAAUAGCACGGCAAUGCGGCCAUAUGUCUAAUCAACAUGAAGUUUCUGUUAUGGAGUAGAAUAAAUACAUAUAUCUGUGUCUCUCUUGGUGGGUGUUUUAAAAACUUGUGUAUUACCUAACUGAAUUACAGAGCAGAAUACCAGCUUUUUUUAUAGCAGUCCACCACCCGCUCUUUAUCCCUCCAUGUCCUUAUGCUGUUUCAAUGUCCUUGUUGAAUCAUGUCACAGUAAAAACAAUGAAUUAAUUUGUCUCAAGUUUCAUUUU